AUGGAGUGUAAAGGAGAAGACACAGUGACCCAGCCAACAGGAGACACCUCUGACACUCAGGGACACACAGCAACAAUACUCUGUACUUUUACCACCAGCGACUCAUACCCAACUCUGUUCUGGUACAAACAAGAAGGACGAGGAGCUCCCAGAUACAUGGUGAAGAAAAGUAGAUCAUCAUCAUCGUGGACUAAGACAAGUAAAUCUUCAGAGUUCAAUGAAAAGAGAUUUGAAGUUGAAGCUGAGGGAAACUCUUUCUCUCUGAAGAUCCAGGAUGUGGAUGUGACAGACUCUGCUGUGUACUACUGUGCUCUGAAGCCCACAGUGACAGGAAACACCAAAACUCUGAACAAAAACCUCUGGAGCAAAGACAACACAAUACUGCAGUAG